GUUUUUUGUACCUAAUUAAAGUGUCUGAGUUGCAGUCAGGUGAUGCCGGUUAGAGUUCUGCAGGCCUUC
rnacentral:tRNA from 1 species